UACGUAGGGUGCGAGCGUUGUCCGGAGUUACUGGGCGUAAAGCGCACGCAGGCGGUCUGCCAAGUUCGGAGUGACAGUUUCCGGCUUAACUGGGAAAGGUCUUCGAAAACUGGUGGACUUGAGACUUUGAGGGGGAGACGGAAUUCCGGGUGGAGCGGUGAAAUGCGUAGAGAUCCGGAGGAACACCGAAGGCGAAGGCAGUCUCCUGGCAAGGUUCUGACGCUCAGGUGCGAAAGCUAGGGGAGCGAACAGG
rnacentral:rRNA from 1 species